GACAGAGGGUGCAAACGUUGUUCGGAAUUACUGGGCGUAAAGCGCGUGUAGGCUGUCUCGCAAGUCGGAUGUGAAAGCCCUGGGCUCAACCUAGGAAGUGCAUUCGAAACUGCGAGACUUGAGUCCUGGAGAGGAAGGUGGAAUGCUUGGUGUAGAGGUGAAAUUCGUAGAUAUCAAGCGGAACACCGGUGGCGAAGGCGGCCUUCUGGACAGUGACUGACGCUGAGACGCGAAAGCGUGGGGAGCAAACAGG
rnacentral:rRNA from 1 species